UGAGGAAUAUUGGUCAAUGGGCGAGAGCCUGAACCAGCCAAGUAGCGUGCAGGAUGACGGCCCUAUGGGUUGUAAACUGCUUUUGUAUGGGGAUAAAGUCAAUCACGUGUGAUUGUUUGCAGGUACCAUACGAAUAAGGACCGGCUAAUUCCGUGCCAGCAGCCGCGGUAAUACGGAAGGUCCGGGCGUUAUCCGGAUUUAUUGGGUUUAAAGGGAGCGUAGGCUGGAGAUUAAGUGUGUUGUGAAAUGUAGACGCUCAACGUCUGACUUGCAGCGCAUACUGGUUUCCUUGGGUACGCACAACGUUGGCGGAAUUCGUCGUGUAGCGGUGAAAUGCUUAGAUAUGACGAAGAACUCCGAUUGCGAAGGCAGCUGACGGGAGCGCAACUGACGCUGAAGCUCGAAGGUGCGGGUAUCGAACAGGAUUAGAUACCCUGGUAGUCCGCACAGUAAACGAUGGAUGCCCGCUGUUGGUACCUGGUAUCAGCGGCUAAGCGAAAGCAUUAAGCAUCCCACCUGGGGAGUACGCCGGCACGGU
rnacentral:rRNA from 1 species